GCUGGGGCGGUGGAGCUCCCUGUAAUCCCAGCGGCUGGGGAGGCUGAGACAGGAGGAUCGCGAGUUCAAAGCCAGCCUCAGCAAGGGCGAGCCCUAAGCAACUCGGUGAGACCCUGUCUCUA
rnacentral:sRNA from 1 species